rnacentral:rRNA from 1 species
AACGAACGCUGGCGGCAUGCCUAACACAUGCAAGUCGAACGAGACCUUCGGGUCUAGUGGCGCACGGGUGCGUAACGCGUGGGAACCUGCCCUUAGGUUCGGAAUACCUCCCCGAAAGGGGUGCUAAUACCGGAUAAUGUCUUCGGACCAAAGAUUUAUCGCCUUUGGAUGGGCCCGCGUUGGAUUAGCUAGUUGGUAGGGUAAAAGCCUACCAAGGCGACGAUCCAUAGCUGGUCUGAGAGGAAGAUCAGCCACACUGGGACUGAGACACGGCCCAGACUCCUACGGGAGGCAGCAGUGGGGAAUAUUGGACAAUGGGCGAAAGCCUGAUCCAGCAAUGCCGCGUGAGUGAUGAAGGCCUUAGGGUUGUAAAGCUCUUUUACCCGGGAUGAUAAUGACAGUACCGGGAGAAUAAGCUCCGGCUAACUCCGUG